CUGACUGUGCCCUCCUGUAGGCUCUGCCCUCGGCCUCCUCGGGGCCCCCGUGCCCCGCUCUGGCCCCCACCUCACCCCCGGCGCCUGGCUGGCAGCAGCAGACCAUCCUGAUGCUGAAAGAGCAGAACCGGCUCCUCACGCAGGAGGUGACGGACAAGAGCGAGCGGAUCACGCAGCUGGAGCAGGAGAAGUCCGCCCUCAUCAAGCAGCUGUUCGAGGCGCGCGCCCUCAGCCAGCAGGACGCCGGGCCUCUGGACUCCACCUUCAUCUAAGGCCACGGCCACGGGCAGGGACAUGGCCUCUUGGCCGGACACUGGCCCUGGGCAGGGCCCCUAGAUCCCAGCCCCGCAGGCUGACGACCGCCCGGCUGGCCUGGACACGGCUCUCCCGGCUCCCAGUCUGGGCCCCUAGGUGGGCUGCCCCCAGGGUGCCCUUCCAUCCUGGCCUGGGCAUGGGGCUGACCCGGGCCAGGGCUCCGUUGUGCGGGCUCAGCCUGAAGCUGCAGCCACCCCGUUCUCGGUUCUCGCGGUCAGUGGUUCCCUCUUCCGGUUUACCAGGUGUCGCCGGGCCGUUUUAUCACGUUUUAUCAGGUGUCGCCGGCCUGUCCAGUGUUUACAGCUGGCCUGCCUCCCCUCCCCCCUGGCGGCCGCAGUAGAAGGUCCUGGUCACGCCGGGCUGCACUUCUGACAGCAGCCAGCAGAGGGCACCACCUGCGUGCUGGUCAUGGAUCCUGAAGCCCCCACCGAGGUCUCCCGUGGGGGCUGGGACACCUGAGGGCCAGCAGGUGACCUCUCUCAACCCAGGACACCCCGACGGGGGACCCCUCAGCAGGAACAGAUGGGGGGUGGGGGUGGCUCUGACGGGGAUGGGGUCUGCCUAUGCCUGGUUUCAGGGACCCCGGGAUGGAUGGAGGUGCCUGGAGUGGGGCUGGGAGGAUGGCCUGCUGCCCCUCCACACAGACUCCGGGCCCUAAAUCAACGUGGCUUAGCCGCCAUCCCUCCUGGCCGAGACCCAGCCCAGGCCACCCACAGAGCAAUCUGACCGGGCUCAGGGCCGCGGGGCCCCCAGGCACCCUGGCCAGGGCGACCUGUGGUCACCAGUGGCUCCGGUGUGGCCCUCACCAGGGGUGGGGGAGCCUUGGAAUCCCAGAUGUGCCGUGAGGGGCCUGGUGGGCCGAGCACCCCCGCCAGGUAUGCACCCCACCUGUGGCCUCCUUCCCUCCGCAGCUCGGCCCCAGGGCUGGGCUGGGAGACAGCAUGUUGCUCAGAAAGGAGCUCAGGACUCAGAAGGAGGCUGGGACUGGUCCUCCAGGGAGGGGGCGGGGGAGCAGGUCCGAGGGCGGGACAGUCCGGAGGGCACCCAGGCAGACUUGCAGGGCACCUGUGCCAGCCCCGAGGGCCUGCCCACAGGACUCCCCAAGUCUUCCUCUUCUAUGGUUCUUGGAUCUGCCCCUCCCUCUCAUCCCAUGACCAGUCCCUCAACCUAGCCCAGGCCCUGAGCCCACCCUCACUGGGGGUCCUUCUGCUCCCCAAAUGCAGGCUGGGACACUUCCAGAACUGGAACCCACAGUCCUCUGCUCCGAAUCCUCCCGUGACCCCAGCACUUGCAGCCCCAGCCCCAGUGCUGUGCCCUGACCAGGAAUUGAACUGGUGACCUCGUGCUUCCUGGGUCCGGGCUCGAGUCCCCACCCAACCCUCUGGUUUCGGGCUGUAGCUGUGCAGCCUGCCUCCCCCCUCUGGGCUUUGCACAUGCUGUUCCAUCUGGAACGUGCCGCCCCGCCUCCCCUGGCUUGCUCCUCCCCCGCCCUCCAGGAUGGGCCAGAACAGCCAGGGAUCUGGGGAGACAGGACCUAGGUCUGCCCCGGGGGGUGUCAUCGGGAGACCCCCCCACGUGAAGCUGGCCCUUGGGUAGCAGGGAGAACCUGGCUGUGCGAAGGAGAGGGAAGGCGGGCUCCUGGGGCCCUGGUGUUUUGUGCAGGUGGCGUCAGUUGCCCGUGUGGCCCUGUGGCCUCAAGGGCAGGAUCUCAGGGGUCCCCGGUUAGCAGGGCCAGGCCGCUGGCAGAGGCAGACAUCUGGAGAGGUCCCUCAGGCUUGCACGGUGGUGUUCAGGGCGGGGCAGUCUGGGGCCCUGUGCUCUGGGGGUGCUGAGGGGGGCCCUGGCUUCCCCACUAGAUGCCAGAAGCAACCAGAAUGUGUGACACUUGGGGGGCGGGGGGGGGCCCCAAACUGCCCCGAUGAGAACCUCUGCCCCCAGAAGUGCAAGUGCCUUCAGGCUAAAGACAAGUUUUCCCAAACAAGGAAAGGCCCCGCCACGGCAGCCACAGAAACCGCAGACUGGACCCCCAGGUGUUGGGAUUGUCAGGAUGUAAAAUAACUUAUAUGUGCAAGGAAAUAAAAGGCCCUUGUAAAUGUGAACAAGGAGUAGUCUUUGGUUUCCUUCUUUAAAAUAGGUUUUUAUUGAUCUUUCAGAGAGGAAGGAAGAGGGAGAAAAACAUCGAUGAGAGGAAUUCAUCCAUCAGCUGCCUCCUGCAGGCCCCACAAUGGGGGUCGAGUCCGCAACCCCAGCGUGUGCCCUGACCAGGAAUGGAACCGGUGACCUCUUGCUUCCUGGGUCCGUGCUCAACCGCUGGGCCACACCGGCCAGGCACUGUGCGAGGUUCUCAGAGGGAAAUUUGCAACCUCGAAUUCAAACCCCGACUGGGAUUUUGCAAGAAUGGAAAAAUACAGUCUCAUUCCAUUCCAGCAACAAAGAGAAUGAGUCUAUCCAACUUGGGUGGGUCCCAAGGCAAGAUGAGUUAAAUGUUUUAAAAUGUGUUGUAAUUCACAACAUGAACAAAGUAAGGGAGAAAAUAUGCCUGCAAGGAAUUCAGAAGAAAACAUGCAACUGUACUCAGUUCAUGUUCGUAAGAAACUUGGAAACGCAUUUACACGAAAGCCCUCAGCGAAACGGGGUCAGUGGUGGAAUGUGGAAGGCAUUCUCCCCCGAUCAGGAAGACACUAGUGAUGCUGUUAUGGGCAAAUGCUGUCCAGACUUUUACUGGUAAAGUCUUAGAAUUUUUAAGAGUUUAAUAAGAUGCUGAUUACAAAAUGAGUUCAAAAAAGGCCAUUUAAUUACUAUAACCAGCAAAAAAAAAAAAAAAAACAAACUUAGAAAAUGUCAUUUAAAACUAAAACUGUAUGUUCCAAGGACUAAAUCUAAGAAAAAAAUGUGCGAGACCUUUAAGGAGAAAAUUACUUCAAACUUUUCUGAGAGACCUACAAGAAAACCUAUGUCAAUAGAAAAAUAAACCCUGGUUUUGGACAAAA